rnacentral:rRNA from 1 species
UACGUAGGGGGGCAAGCGUUGUCCGGAAUCAUUGGGCGUAAAGCGCGUGUAGGCGGCUCGGUAAGUCUGCUGUGAAAGUCCAGGGCUCAACCCUGGGAUGCCGGUGGAUACUGUCGAGCUCGAGUCCGGAAGAGGCGAGUGGAAUUCCUGGUGUAGCGGUGAAAUGCGCAGAUAUCAGGAGGAACACCUAUUGCGAAGGCAGCUCGCUGGGACGUUACUGACGCUGAGACGCGAAAGCGUGGGGAGCAAACAGG